CACUAGUUGUUUUUGAGAAUUGUCAAAAAUUGAAAAUUUAUUAUUUACAAAUAAUAUUAAAACACCUUUUUAUGUUGUGAAAACUUUUUUUCGAUUUAUAACAUAAAUAUAAAUAUCUAAUAUACCUUAUGGCCUAUGAGGUUGAAAUAUAAAUGUGAUUUAAAUUGUGUUUUCUAACCUAUAUUUGUGUAUAACAAAUGUUGUAAAGUGCUUUAUUACAUCUUAUUGAAAAUGUGAGUGAAAAAUUUACAAUAUGCAAUAGUGUUAGUGUGUACUUGUGAAGUAAAGUGCGCGUGGUUACAAAUAUAACAGUGUUUGGAUUACUUACAUAAAGGCGGCAGUAUGGUGAUUAUUGUUACCAAUUUAUUAAAACGAGACACGGUGGAAAUUUGCUGAUGGUAAACGGAUACAUUUACUCGAAACGUAACAAUACUACAAACUAUUAUUGUUCGAAGAAAGACCAAGGUUGUAAAGUCAGUGUCAAGUUUGUCGUGAAUGGAAGAUUGAUAUUUAAACGUUCACUCAUUCAUCAACAUCCUCCAUCAAAAUAUCACGUCACGGAAUCAGGAUUAUACAUAAAGUCUUUAUACAUAAUGUCUUCAUGAUAGUGAUUUUGCAAUUAUUAUAUUGUACAUACAUAUUAUAUAAUUGCCAAAAAAAUUAGGCCAAAUUAUAAAAAACACGCUAUAAAUGUAAGUUUAUAAAGACAAAGCAUUCUUCGUUAUUAAUGUUGAACGGUUACACGUACGCGAAAAAUUCCAAGAGUUCCAUCUACUACUGUUCAAAGAAAAAUAAAGGCUGUAAGGCAAGAUUAAAAAUAGAUAAAAGUGGUUUUGUAAUAAAUAAAACGGAGGAUUUGAAGCAUUUACACCCCCCUCCACAAUAUUAUCAAAUGGCCUCUGGAGAAUAUUUGAAGAUAUCGUCAUGAACAUCGACCGUUGUGGUGAAAAGUUCGGGAUUUACAUUUAUAAAUAAAAGUUUGAUUACAAGUUUAUUCAAACCAGGACAGCUAAUCUGUUGAUGUUCAAUAAUUAUACCUAUGCAAAAGAUAAUAGAUCAAGCAAUUAUUACUGUUCGAAGAGAGCGAAAGGGUGCAAAGCGAGGGUGAAACUGCAAGAGAAUGGGAUUAUAGUGAGGAGUAACGAGUAUUUAGUACAUCACCACCCUCCCCCGAAGUACGUGCAAUGUUCAGAUGGACUUUACAUAAAAAUACACCCUUGAAUUGAUUGUAUGUGAUAUGUAAAUCAUAUAACUUUUUUAAUUUAUUUG